rnacentral:tRNA from 1 species
GGCUUGAUGGCGAAGUGGUCUAACGCUGCGGUUUGCAAAACCGUCAUUCGUGGGUUCGAAUCCCACUCAAGCCU